UUUGUCAGCUAUAUCACCCUGCAGCCCAAGACUGGUUGCCCACUGAAGCUAAGCAGGGUUGAGCCUGGUCAGUACCUGGAUGGGAGACCUCCUGGGAAAACUAGGUUGCUGCUGGAA
rnacentral:rRNA from 1 species